rnacentral:rRNA from 1 species
AGAGUUUGAUCCUGGCUCAGGAUGAACGCUAGCGGCAGGCUUAACACAUGCAAGUCGAGGGGCAACAUAAUGGUAGUAAUACUAUUGAUGGCGACCGGCGGACGGGUGCGUAACGCGUAUGCAACCUACCCUUUACAGGGGGAUAACACUGAGAAAUCGGUACUAAUACCCCAUAAUAUUCUGGGAGGCAUCUUUCGGAGUUGAAAGCUUUGGUGGUAAAGGAUGGGCAUGCGUUGUAUUAGCUAGUUGGUAAGGUAACGGCUUACCAAGGCGACGAUACAUAGGGGGACUGAGAGGUUAACCCCCCACAUUGGUACUGAGACACGGACCAAACUCCUACGGGAGGCAGCAGUGAGGAAUAUUGGUCAAUGGACGGAAGUCUGAACCAGCCAUGCCGCGUGCAGGAAGACGGCUCUAUGAGUUGUAAACUGCUUUUGUACGAGGGUAAACGCAGAUACGUGUAUCUGCCUGAAAGUAUCGUACGAAUAAGGAUCGGCUAACUCCGUGCCAGCAGCCGCGGUAAUACGGAGGAUCCAAGCGUUAUCCGGAUUUAUUGGGUUUAAAGGGUGCGUAGGCGGUUUAGUAAGUCAGCGGUGAAAUUUUGGUGCUUAACACCAAACGUGCCGUUGAUACUGCUGGGCUAGAGAGUAGUUGCGGUAGGCGGAAUGUAUGGUGUAGCGGUGAAAUGCUUAGAGAUCAUACAGAACACCGAUUGCGAAGGCAGCUUACCAAACUAUAUCUGACGUUGAGGCACGAAAGCGUGGGGAGCAAACAGGAUUAGAUACCCUGGUAGUCCACGCAGUAAACGAUGAUAGCUCGUUGUCGGCGAUACACAGUCGGUGACUAAGAGAAAUCGAUAAGCUAUCCACCUGGGGAGUACGUUCGCAAGAAUGAAACUCAAAGGAAUUGACGGGGGCCCGCACAAGCGG